UACGUAGGGGGCUAGCGUUGUCCGGAUUUAUUGGGCGUAAAGAGCGUGUAGGCGGCCGAGUAAGUCCGGUGUGAAAACUCGAGGCUUAACCUCGAGAUGUCAUCGGAAACCAUCUGGCUAGAGUCCGGAAGAGGAGAGUGGAAUCCUGGUGUAGCGGUGAAAUGCGCAGAUAUCAGGAAGAACACCAAUGGCGAAAGCAGCUCUCUGGGACGGUACUGACGCUGAGACGCGAA
rnacentral:rRNA from 1 species